AGCUUCGCGCUUUAGCGUUGGUCGCGCAGGCUUCCGUAGGGACGCGCUAGAAAACAUGGCUGCUCCCUUGAACUAACGUGAGGGAACUCUGCGCAGAAGCAGUCACAGCUGAUUUUAAGAAACUGCGACAGUUUACGGGCUUUCUACAAUUUAUUUUCACUGCAGCGGCUAAGAGCUAAAGGCUGUUGAUGCUGUUGUGGUCAUCACGUCUUUUCUCUCUCAUCAUCCACUACCCACUGCGUCACACCUGCACGUUUGCUUCUGCAAAGAAACCGUGGUGGAACUUAGGUUCAUCUGCUGCCACUGUUUUUAGCAGGACAUUAACGUCAAUGGAGCCCAAGGACACAGAAGUGACCAACACUACGUCCAGCCCUCUGCCCACAUUCACUGAAGUGUCGGCUGACCUCCAGAGUCCAGCUGCAGCACAAGCGCCAAAUGUUAACACGGAGAUGCCUGCUGUGGGUCUUUUACCAGGAGAGACGGUUGUCAAGGAGGGCAGGGCGAACAUCUUAUACCCCAAUGCAAAUGAGGUGUUUUACAACCCGGUGCAAGAGUUUAACAGGGAUUUGACUUGUGCCGUGAUCACGGAGUUUGCCAGAGAUGUGCUUGCUCAGCGUGGGGUGAAGCUGGUGGUUCCUGGAGAAAAGGAGAAGGUGGUGGUCUCCCUGUCGGAGGAGAAGAACGAGGCUGAUUCACAGAUGGAGGAGGAAAACGGAGCAGAGGAGCCGGCGGUUACUGCGACAGUGGGGGAGAAGUGUGACACUGGUCUCCGUGUACUGGAGGGGUUGGCAGCAUCUGGUUUGCGCUCUGUGCGUUUUGCCCUGGAAGUCCCUGGUCUGAAGAGCAUCACCGCUAACGAUUUCUCCCACAAGGCCGCGGCUCUGAUCGCUCGGAACGCCCAGUACAACAGAGUCAGCCACCUGCUGGAAGCUAGCUGCAAAGACGCCAGUUUGCUGAUGUACGAGAUGCGGGGGAAGAAGGACCGCUAUGACGUAAUUGAUCUGGAUCCCUAUGGUAGCCCGUCCUGUUUUCUAGAUGCUGCCGUGCAGGCUGUCAGUGAAGGAGGACUUCUGUGUAUCACGUGUACAGACAUGGCAGUCAUGGCUGGGAAGAGGGGGGAGACCUGCUACAGCAAGUACGGCUCUGUCUCCAUCAAGUCAAAGUACUGUCAUGAGAUGGCUCUGCGUAUCAUCCUCCACAGUUUGGACCAGAGAGCUGCGGUCUACCAGCGCUACAUCCAACCACUGCUGUCGGUCAGCGUGGACUUCUACAUCAGAGUUUUCGUACGAGUCUUUACGGGACAGGCCAAAGUCAAAAACUCAGCCAGUAAACAGGCGCUCGUCUACAACUGUGUGGGCUGUGGCUCCUUCCAUUUACAGAGCAUGGGCAAGAGAAUCGACAAUGGGAAAAAUAUGAAGUAUUCUGCUGCCACUGGACCUCCAGUUGGACGGGAGUGUGAGCACUGUGGACAGAGACAUCAGCUGGGCGGUCCCCUGUGGGCGGAGCCUAUCCACGACUCCUCAUUUGUCCAUAAGGUUCUGUCAGCUGUGUCGGGGAACCCCUCCAGAUUUGGGACGACCAAACGUAUCGAGGGCAUGCUCAGCAUGGUGACGGAGGAGCUGGAAGAUGUUCCUUUUUAUUACACUGUGGACGGUCUGAGCAGCACCAUACACUGCAACACUCCGCCCCUGCUCCAGUUCAGGUCAGCCCUCCUUCAUGCAGGUUACAGAGUUUCUCUCACCCACGCCUGUAAGAACGCCAUAAAAACAGACGCUCCCCCCAGUGUCAUCUGGGACAUCAUGAGAUGUUGGGAAAAGGUGAAUCCUGUGAGGAGAGAGAAGCUCUCAGAGACCAGCCCUGCUUUCAGAAUCCUCUCCACUGAGGCCAAGCUGGAGGCCUGCUUCACUGUGAGGAACGACGCCAACCCUCAGUCACGGAAACGCCACCUGACGCGAUUCCAGGAGAAUCCUCAGGCGUACUGGGGGCCCAAAGCUAGGGCCAAAGCUUGUGGGGGCAUCGCCACAGACCUGCAGGACAAGAGGAAGAAGUUCCAGAACAAGAGGAAGAGCCAGGUCACAGACUCUGCUCAGCUCAAGGACUUUCCCUGCAAGAGAUUCAAACAGGGAACAUGUACACACGGAGACGACUGUCGCUACUCUCACAAGUCAGAGCAGACAACUGAAGAGAAGACGGAGUAAACCUACAGAUUUGUUUUUUUAAUUAUAUAUUUUUCUGGACUUUUAAAUGGUCAAUGCAGCCUGAUCACAGUGAGGAUAGCAGGCUGCAGUUGUUUCCAGAGACGAUCGUCUGAAAUGAAAAAUCUCAGCAUCUUUACAUCAUGAGGCAGGUUUGAACACACAACAUCUACUCAAAGACAAGUGAUCAACAGUCACUGAACACUUACGAAUCACGAGUUUUAAUUUGGAGACGCUGCACAAUCAGUACAAAAAGCGUUUGUCACAUUGGCAUUAGUAGAAAAUGAUUUUCUUAUUGCACUCACCUGGGACCGUGUGCAGUGAUACAGGAAGAAACCCGAUCUAAACUUUGUAAGAGACGAUCGUGACAAACCACGUCUCAACGUCCUCCUCCAAAACUCUUCAAACCAGCACGAAAGUCCAGGCACGGUUGUU